rnacentral:rRNA from 1 species
UGGAAUCGCUAGUAAUCGCGGAUCAGAAUGCCGCGGUGAAUACGUUCCCGGGUCUUGUACACACCGCCCGUCACACCAUGGGAGUCGGGAAUGCCCGAAGCCAGUGACCCAAGCGAGAGCAGGGAGCUGUCGAAGGCAGGCCGGAUAACUGGGGUGAAGUCGUAACAAGGUAUC